UACGUAGGUGGCAAGCGUUGUCCGGAUUUAUUGGGUUUAAAGGGUGCGUAGGCGGCCCUGUAAGUCAGUGCUGAAAUAUCCCGGCUUAACCGGGAGGGUGGCAUUGAUACUGCGGGGCUAGAGUACAGAUGAGGUAGGCGGAAUUGACGGUGUAGCGGUGAAAUGCUUAGAUAUCCGGAGGAACACCGGUGGCGAAGGCGGCUUCCUGGACUGACACUGACGCUGAGGCGCGAAAGCUAGGGGAGCAAACGGG
rnacentral:rRNA from 1 species